GAUGAAGAACGUAGCGAAAUGCGAUAAGUAAUGUGAAUUGCAAAAUUCAGUGAAUCAUCGAAUCUUUGAACGCACAUUGCGCCCGCCAGUAUUCUGGCGGGCAUGCCUGUCUGAGCGUCAUUUCAACCCUCAUGCCCCUAGGGCGUGGUGUUGGGGAUCGGCCAAAGCCCGCGAGGGACGGCCGGCCCCUAAAUCUAGUGGCGGACCCGUCGUGGCCUCCUCUGCGAAGUAGUGAUAUUCCGCAUCGGAGAGCGAUGAGCCCCUGCCGUUAAACCCCCAACUUUCCAAGGUUGACCUCAGAUCAGGUAGGAAUACCCGCUGAACUUAAGCAUAUCAAUAAGCGGAGGA
rnacentral:misc_RNA from 1 species